UACGUAGGGGCAGCGUUGUCCGGAUUUAUUGGGCGUAAAGCGCUCGCAGGUGGUUCGUCGCGUCGUGCGUGAAAGACCCGGCUCAACUGGGGGUGUCGUGCGAUACGGGCGGACUGGAGGCCAGUAGGGGAUGCGGAAUUCCGGGUGUAGUGGUGGAAUGCGUAGAGAUGAUGGAGGAACACCAGUGGCGAAGGCGGCUUUCUGGUACUGUAACUGACGCUGAGGCGACGAAAGCGUGGGGAGCAAACAGG
rnacentral:rRNA from 1 species